rnacentral:rRNA from 1 species
UACGAAGGGGGCGAGCGUUGUUCGGAUUUACUGGGCGUAAAGGGCGCGCAGGCGGCUCAUUUUGUCAGGCGUGAAAGCCCCGGGCUUAACCUGGGAACUGCGUUUGAUACGGAUGGGCUAGAGUUCGGGAGAGGAGAGUGGAAUUCCCAGUGUAGAGGUGAAAUUCGUAGAUAUUGGGAAGAACACCGGUGGCGAAGGCGGCUCUCUGGACCGAUACUGACACUGAGGAGCGAAAGCGUGGGGAGCGAACAGG